GGAGUUGUGGCUCAGUGGUUGAGCAUCUGCUUUUCAUGCAGAAGGUCCUAGUUUUAAGAAGGUAGGUGAUAUGACACACCUCUAACUCGAAUCCUGGACAGCUAUUGCCA
rnacentral:tRNA from 1 species